rnacentral:tRNA from 1 species
GGUAAUGUGGCUUAAUGGUAGAGUGCUUGCCUUCCAUGCAUGAAGCCCUGGAUUUGAUUCCUCAGUACCC